CCUACGGGAGGCUGCAGUGAGGAAUAUUGGUCAAUGGACGAGAGUCUGAACCAGCCAAGUAGCGUGAAGGAUGACUGCCCUAUGGGUUGUAAACUUCUUUUAUAUGGGAAUAAAACGUUCCACGUGUGGGAUUUUGUAUGUACCAUAUGAAUAAGGAUCGGCUAACUCCGUGCCAGCAGCCGCGGUAAUACGGAGGAUCCGAGCGUUAUCCGGAUUUAUUGGGUUUAAAGGGAGCGUAGAUGGGUUGUUAAGUCAGUUGUGAAAUUUUGCGGCUCAACCGUAGAAUUGCAAUUGAUACUGGCAGUCUUGAGUACAGUUGAGGUAGGCGGAAUUCGUGGUGUAGCGGUGAAAUGCUUAGAUAUCACGAAGAACUCCGAUUGCGAAGGCAGCUUACUAAACUGCCACUGACAUUGAUGCACGAAAGUGUGGGGAUCAAACAGGAUUAGAUACCCGAGUAGUC
rnacentral:rRNA from 1 species